ACCUGUGCGUGUUUAUAAGUGAUGUGCAGACAUCAGUGAGGGGCCCAACCAGCAGAAACUGAGUCUGGAUUCGAUCAUUCAGAGAAUUGAGUGGUUUUGGAUCGAGGGAUUUAAUCUGAGCCCUUUCUUGUAAUGUAUUUUAGAGGUGAAAGGGCUUUUCUUCUGCCAAGAUGAGAGUAUAGGGCUGCAGGGAUUUGUAUUUCUCUUGCAGCUGUAGACAUCACUAACAAAUAUGGCCUCAAUUCUGGAAGCAUCUUAGCUGAAGUAGAUCUCUACUGUGAUGUGGUGCUCCAUUACAGCUGGUCUUCAGAGGCAGAAUGACCCCCACCAGCUGCAGCACGAGGUCAGAGAUGACCAAGAAAGCGUGUACAGUAAUGUUUCCACACUGCUCUCCUGAACAUCCUGCUGCAAAAGCCUUUGGUAUUAGUGCCCUCUGUGCCAGGGGAAGAUAUUCAGACUCCAGGGAGUUUAUUGGAAAAGGAAGUUAGUAGUGCCUUUCCCAAGGCCUAAAAUGUCUUAAAGUCCCUGCAAACAUCUGGUGGAUCCUUUGAGGUAGAUCCUAUUAACUCAGCCUGCACCAGUGAAGCUAGUUAUGAGGUGGGAAAGGUUGAGCAUAUAGCUUAUUUAGCUUCUGACACAUAAAUCCAGCCAGUCAUUUUCUUCCACAGUGGCUUUAACUCCAUCAUCCAUGUAUUUUAAAUCAAGGUGUUACUGCCUAGGCAAAUUCCCUAAGAAAGUCUCCAAGGGAUGGUGUCUGAUGCACGUGCAAGGUCUUUGACCAGCAAGCAUGGCUGGGUCUCCAACAUUUUUCUUGGUCAUAGCCCCAAAAUCUGAAAAUCAUCAACCUGCUUCAGACAGACUUUUGCUAAGUCAUUUGUUAUGGAAACUUUGGCCCAUAUAUUCCUCUGACUGGCAGAGAUAAAAAUGAAUGACUUUUCUAACUAAUGUGUAGUGUUGACAGUAUCUCUUUAAAUUUAUUACGUUAGAUUGUGAAAAUACGGUUACUUAACAAAAAUCACAUUUGUUUCUUACCUAA